UCUUUCAUUCAAAUUUACUGAAAUAUUUCAAAAAUCAGGUGACCAUUAAGGCCCAUGGGCCUCUUGUUUAUAAUUAUUAUAUAAUUAAUGAAAAUAUAUUAGACAUAUCCAGAUUACAGCUUUGGUGACGGGAAGAGAACUGUAAUUCAUGAUUUACAUCUCUGAUUCAAGGGUUCAAAAUGUUUUUAUUAAUAUAUUAUUUUUUAAGUUUAAGUUUGGAAAUCAAUCUAUUUUAUUUCAAUGGAGAUGAAUUGUCUUAUGAAACUUAUUUUAAUGGAGUUAAUUACGAGUGAGUAUUAUGGAUGAGUGGUUAAGGUUUUAACAGGAUUAGUGUUAAUUGUUCUGGCAUUAUUAUCUAUUGAUUGAUCAGGUGAUGGAAGAUUUCUUUGUCUCUUAUUUAAGUAUUUAUCAGAUUUACAUAUCAUGCCAUAAUGAUCCGUCCACUUACCAUGCUGACUGAAAAGUCCCUUACUUAUUAUCAAAGUAUAUCGGCUUACCAGCUCCUUACAUCUGGUAAUAGUUGUUGCAGGUUUAUAUAGGUUGACCAGUCCUGUACUAAGGUCUGUGUAUGUAGGCUGACCAGUCCUCUACUAAGGUCUGUGUAUGUAGGCUGACCAGUCCUCUACUAAGGUCGGUGUAUGUAGGCUGACCAGUCCUGUACUAAGGUCAGUGUAUGUAGGCUGACCAGUCCUGUACUUAGGUCGGUGUAUGUAGGCUGACCAGUCCUGUACUAAGGUCGGUGUAUGUAGGCUGACCAGUCCUCUACUUAGGUCGGUGUAUGUAGGCUGACCAGUCCUGUACUUAGGUCGGUGUAUGUAGACUGACCAGUCCUGUACUAAGGUCGGUGUAUGUAGGUUGACCAGUCCUGUACUUAGGUCGGUGUAUGUAGACUGACCAGUCCUGUACUAAGGUCAAUGUAUGUAGGCUGACCAGUCCUGUACUUAGGUCGGUGUAUGUAGACUGACCAGUCCUCUACUUAGGUCGGUGUAUGUAGACUGACCAGUCCUGUACUUAGGUCGGUGUAUUUAGACUGACCAGUCCUGUACUAAGGUCGGUGUAUGUAGGCUGACCAGUCCUCUACUUAGGUCGGUGUAUGUAGACUGACCAGUCCUGUACUAAGGUCAGUGUAUGUAGGCUGACCAGUCCUGUACUUAGAUUGAUGUAUGUAGACUGACCAGUCCUGUACUUAGGUCAGUGUAUGUAGGCUGACCAGUCCUGUACUUAGGUCAGUGUAUGUAGACUGACCAGUCCUGUACUAAGGUCAGUGUAUGUAGGCUGACCAGUCCUGUACUUAGGUCGGUGUAUGUAGGCUGACCAGUCAUGUACUUCGGUGUGUGAUGUAAACCGACCAGUCCCAUACUUAUUAUGAUCAGUAUAGGUUGGCAGACCAGUCCCUUACUUAUGACCACUAUAGGUAGGCCGACCAGUCUCAGGCCAGUGAAGGUCUUUCAUCUUAAAUUUGCAAUCUACAUGUAUUCGUCCUAAUUUUGUAAUCUUCAUGUAUUCAGAAUUGUUUUAAUUUAUUAAUUCCAUUGAUGUCUAUUUGUAAUUUGUUACUUCUUUAUUAGAAAAAAUUCAUAUGCAGAAUAUAUUAAUAUGUACAUGUAUUUUUUUGAAUGAAAACUUUUGUUUCAAUUCUUUGCUGCCAUAAUUUAUGUUGUCUUUUAUUCCAAGUUCUUAUUACUUUUUACUGUUGUUUUCCUGAACACAUACUAAAUACUUUGUACACAACAUUUGUAUCAAGUUAUGUAUACAACACUUUUACUGUUCUUAUAAAACCGUAAACAACACUUGUACUGAUGUUAUGUAUCCAUACAACAUUUACACUUGUGCCUGUGUUAGUGGAUAUAUAUACAUACAUGUACUGAGUACUUCUACAGAGCCGUUUUUGUUCACCAUGGCCCUAACAGUUGAGCUGUUUUUGUUCACCAAGGCCCAAACAGUUGAGCUGUUUUUGUUCGCCAUGACCCAAACAGUUGAGCUGUUUUUGUUUACCAUGGCCCAAACAGUUGAGCUGUUUUUGUUCGCCAUGACCCAAACAGUUGAGCUGUUUUUGUUUACCAUGGCCCAAACAGUUGAGCUGUUUUUGUUUAUUCCUUGCCUAAACAAUUGGACUGUUUUGUUUUUCGUGGCCCCAAACAGUUGGACUGUUUUUGUUUAUCAUGGCCCAAAAAAGUUGCCCUGUAGUAGUAUCAGUGUUGCUGAAACAAGUUUAUCAAACCAGGUCAGACCUAUGAUUUAAUUCUAUCAUUUGGGAGCCUUUACUUUAAGGCCUGUAUUAACAUCAACAGGUUUGUUAAGAUAUACAUGUUUAUCCUAUACCGUGUGCUGUAUACCUUGACUUAGGUGUCUCUACAAUGUAGUAUUUCAAUUAUACAUGAACUAUUUUUUAUUAUAUGGAAGUGUAAAUAUUUGUUUAUAUGCAAAUAUCAUGUAAGAAAUAUGUAUCUGCAGUUAUAAACUAUUCCAAUUUUACUUGUUACAUUCCCGCCGAACAGUGAUAAAAUAUAGUUAUGUAUCCCUAAAUUAUCUCCAUUUCUCACAUCACAGGGUGAACCCAUGGUUGCUAGGGAUGGAAUAACUUCACAGGGUGAACCCAUGGUUGCUAGGGAUGGGAUAAAUCGAUCAAUAAAUCAAUCUCACUCGGGAUGGGGAAAGACAGCUGACACACUCUAUGAUGCCACUCACAAUCGUGUGUAAGGUCAUCACUUUAUGUAGCGUAACCAUGUCACAAAUUGAUAACAUAAUCAAUUUUGAUGCAUAUUUUAAUGAUGGCAUGAUGGAAAAGAUUCACAACACCUUAACUACAACUUACUUUCUUAAGUACAGUAAGUGAGAAAAAUAAUCAAACAUAGGCCUAUACCAUGGACAGAAAUAGCCCAACCCAUAGCAUCUUGCUGACCUGCCAAACUUUCAGCUCGGAUUCAGUCCCCGGAACAGGCACAUGCAAGUUUCUAUUAGUCUUUGAAAGCAACCUGGGAAACAACCUUGAAUUGUUUGCACAAAUUGCUGUCUGUUUACUUAUUGCGUCCCUGUUCCACAGAAAGUUUUUGCAAUGGAAAUAUUCUGUACUGUCUGUUCUGAUUCAAGCCAUAUACUAUACAGAAAUUAAAGGGAAACAUCUGUGUCUCAGAUUGACCGUUACCUCAUAUAUAUUUACAUGUUGUACUUGUUAUAUGCAUACUAAUAUUAAAAAUUAAUAUUAAAAAUGGAAAACUGA